AUUGAACGCUGGCGGCAGGCCUAACACAUGCAAGUCGAGCGAGCGGCGGACGGGUGAGUAAUGUAUGGGAAACUGCCUGAUGGAGGGGGAUAACUACUGGAAACGGUAGCUAAUAACGCAUACCAUCAGAUGUGCCCAGAUGGGAUUAGCUAGUAGGUGGGGGAAUGGCUCACCUAGGCGACGAUCCCUAGCUGGUCUGAGAGGAUGACCCGCCACACUGGAACUGAGACACGGUCCAGACUCCUACGGGAGGCAGCAGUGGGGAAUAUUGCACAAUGGGCGCAAGCCUGAUGCAGCCAUGCCGCGUGUAUGAAGAAGGCCUUCGGGUUGUAAAGUACUUUCAGCGAGGAGGCGUUACUCGCAGAAGAAGCACCGGCUAACUCCGUGCCAGCAGCCGCGGUAAUAC
rnacentral:rRNA from 1 species